GACGAACGCUGGCGGCGUGCUUAACACAUGCAAGUCGAACGGUAAGGCCCCUUCGGGGGUACACGAGUGGCGAACGGGUGAGUAACACGGGGGUGAUCUGCCCUGCACUUCGGGAUAAGCCUGGGAAACUGGGUCUAAUACCGGAUAGGACCACGCUCUGCAUGGAGGGUGGUGGAAAGCUUUUGCGGUUUGGGAUGGGCCCGCGGGCUAUCAGCUUGUUGGUGGGGUGAUGGCCUACCAAGGCGACGACGGGUAGCCGGCCUGAGAGGGUGUCCGGCCACACUGGGACUGAGAUACGGCCCAGACUCCUACGGGAGGCAGAAGUGGGGAAUAUUGCACAAUGGGCGCAAGCCUGAUGCAGCGACGCCGCGUGGGGGAUGACGGCCUUCGGGUUGUAAACCUCUUUCAGUACCGACGAAGCGCAAGUGACGGUAGGUACAGAAGAAGCACCGGCCAACUACGUG
rnacentral:rRNA from 1 species